GAUUAGGAUUGAAGGCAGGGGGUGCAUACUUCUGAUUCAGAAUGGCAACUGAAGGAAGUAACUGUUGGACAAGUCCAAAGACUUCUACAGCCACCUAGUAUAAAAAAGAAUGAUUAAGUGAAAUAGCAUGAAGUUAUUCAGGAGAAGCUACUGUUAAGAAUACAAAAGGACGCAGGCUCGGACAGGAAGGAAAGUCAAAGCACACUAAUACUGAAUCUGCAGCGUCUGUGAUGGAGUAGAACGCAGGAACCCUACUGAAAAACACAACGGACACGAAGCUGCCAGAAGUCAGCAUAAUGAAAGGAACUCUCCAACUUCCAGCUGUUUUACUGAAACAUAGGAGGAGACUGCUCUUCAUGUUUUAAUCUCUGUUUUGGAAUAAGGGGGUAAAUGAUCAGAGACCUGGCCAGGCAUCUGAGAUUACCUGUCCCCCUGUUACCACCAUAUGUGAAAAAGGCAAGGUUCACCUUACCACAUACCACACGUCGCAGUUCUGUUAAGGCUCCAGGGAAACGACUCUAGUUAUAUACUUAAAAUCUACUCCUACCAUUA